UGUAAUAGCCAUUAGUAGUAGAAGCAUACAAACAGCCGUUAGGCAUCUGCAGUUCCUGAGACUGGGUAAUAAAUAAAUGUCAGGGAACGGCUGGGUUAAAAUUCCUAGCCAAAUAAGGUAACUGACCAAGGCCCGCCAGAUAAGACCCCAGCACCAAUUAGAGACUUUCGCCGUUUUUUUAACUUAGCAACCUGGCUAAUAGCUAACUGCCACAUCUGCUUCUGUAACCCCGCAUUCGCUUGCUCUGCCCUAUAAAAACCCCCGUAGUCUGUGAGCCAGGCGCGACUCUCAUCUGCAGCCCUUUUGGGCACCGUGUCUCUGGACACCCCGAGAGUUCGCCCCUGCGCAGGUAAAGCUUGGCCACCAAAUUUAUAAUUAGACUAUUAUUUUGUAAUCAAUAAAAUUAGAGAUCUUUGAAACCUAUCUUCAUCUCCGAGAGCGUGCAUUGACUCAUCUGUUGCCUACAACAUUUGGAGGCCCCAGCGAGAUACGCACGUGCCCUCGGAGAACCCAUCUGUAUGCCGGCCCGAAUAUGACCUGACCAGAAUGACAGCGGUCCAGUAAUGCCAGCUUCUGGACACCAAGCCUGCGAUGUCCGGGUGACAGCCAACUGACCAGGACCCUGUGAGGUCUUUCCCCUUACAGGAAAGACUCCCUCCGUGCUGCUCCCCUUCAGGGCACCCCAACCCAAGGGUAAAU